rnacentral:rRNA from 1 species
AACGUAGGGGACAAGCGUUGUUCGGAAUUACUGGGCGUAAAGCGCGCGUAGGCGGCUUUGUAAGUUAGAGGUGAAAGCCCGGGGCUCAACUCCGGAAUUGCCUUUAAGACUGCAUCGCUAGAAUCGUGGAGAGGUAAGUGGAAUUCCGAGUGUAGAGGUGAAAUUCGUAGAUAUUCGGAAGAACACCAGUGGCGAAGGCGACUUACUGGACACGUAUUGACGCUGAGGUGCGAAAGCGUGGGGAGCAAACAGG